UACGUAGGUGGCAAGCGUUGUCCGGAUUUACUGGGCGUAAAGAGCGCGCAGGCGGUUGUUUAAGUCGAAUGUGAAAGCCCCCGGCUCAACUGGGGAGGGUCAUUCGAUACUGAUCGACUUGAAGGCAGGAGAGGGAAGUGGAAUUCCGGGUGUAGUGGUGAAAUGCGUAGAUAUCCGGAGGAACACCAGUGGCGAAGGCGGGUCUCUGGACAGUUCCUGACGCUGAGGCACGAAGGUCAGGGGAGCAAACGGG
rnacentral:rRNA from 1 species